GACGAACGCUGGCGGCGUGCUUAACACAUGCAAGUCGAACGGAAAGGCCCUGCUUUUGUGGGGUGCUCGAGUGGCGAACGGGUGAGUAACACGUGAGUAACCUGCCCUUGACUUUGGGAUAACUUCAGGAAACUGGGGCUAAUACCGGAUAGGAGCUCCUGCUGCAUGGUGGGGGUUGGAAAGUUUCGGCGGUUGGGGAUGGACUCGCGGCUUAUCAGCUUGUUGGUGGGGGAGUGGCUUACCAAGGCUUUGACGGGUAGCCGGCCUGAGAGGGUGACCGGCCACAUUAGGACUGAGAUACGGCCCAGACUCCUACGGGAGGCAGCAGGGGGGAAUAUUGCACAAUGGGCGGAAGCCUGAUGCAGCAACGCCGCGUGCGGGAUGACGUCCUUCGGGUUGUAAACCGCUUUCGCCUGUGACGAAGCGUGAGUGACGGUAAUGGGUAAAGAAGCACCGGCUAACUACGUG
rnacentral:rRNA from 1 species